rnacentral:ncRNA from 1 species
CGCUCCGGAGAAGUCCGAUUUCGGAUGCCGAAGGUGCAAGGCUCGGUGCCUGUCGUGCACGGGUCAAUCUCUCAGGCAAAAGGACGGAGGAU